rnacentral:rRNA from 1 species
GAUGAACGCUAGCUACAGGCUUAACACAUGCAAGUCGCGGGGCAGCAUGGGGGUUGCUUGCCAUCCCCGAUGGCGACCGGCGCACGGGUGAGUAACGCGUAUCCAACCUGCCCUUCACCACGGGAUAACCCGGCGAAAGUCGGACUAAUACCGUAUGUUGUCCAUUGACGGCAUCCGAUUUGGACGAAAGGUUUGGCGGUGAAGGAUGGGGAUGCGUCCGAUUAGCUGGACGGCGGGGUGACGGCCCACCGUGGCGACGAUCGGUAGGGGUUCUGAGAGGAAGGUCCCCCACACUGGAACUGAGACACGGUCCAGACUCCGACGGGAGGCAGCAGGGAGGAAUAUUGGUCAAUGGGCGUAAGCCUGAACCAGCCAAGUAGCGUGCAGGAUGACGGCCCUAUGGGGUGUAAACUGCUUUUAUGCGGGGAUAAAGUGGCCCACGUGUGGGUUUUUGCAGGUACCGCAUGAAUAAGGACCGGCUAAUUCCGUGC